CCUACGGGUGGCAGCAGUGGGGAAUAUUGGGCAAUGGAGGAAACUCUGACCCAGCAACGCCGCGUGAAUGAUGAAGGUCUUCGGAUUGUAAAGUUCUUUUCUAAGGGAAGAAGAAAGUGACGGUACCUUAGGAAUAAGCCUCGGCUAACUACGUGCCAGCAGCCGCGGUAAUACGUAGGAGGCGAGCGUUAUCCGGAUUUAUUGGGUUUAAAGGGUGCGUAGGCGGACUGUUAAGUCAGCGGUAAAAGUCCGGGGCUCAACCCCGGCGAGCCGUUGAAACUGGCUGUCUUGAGAUGUCGAGAGGUAUGCGGAAUGCGCAGUGUAGCGGUGAAAUGCUUAGAUAUUGCGCAGAACUCCGAUUGCGAAGGCAACAUACCGGCGGCGAUCUGACGCUGAGGCACGAAAGCGUGGGUAUCGAACAGGAUUAGAUACCCUUGUAGUC
rnacentral:rRNA from 1 species